GACGAACGCUGGCGGCGUGCUUAACACAUGCAAGUCGAACGGUAAGGCCCUUCGGGGUACACGAGUGGCGAACGGGUGAGUAACACGUGGGUGAUCUGCCCUGCACUUCGGGAUAAGCCUGGGAAACUGGGUCUAAUACCGGAUAGGACUCCUGGCUUCAUGGUUGGGGGUGGAAAGCUUUUGCGGUGUGGGAUGGGCCCGCGGCCUAGCAGCUUGUUGGUGGGGUAAUGGCCUACCAAGGCGACGACGGGUAGCCGGUCUGAGAGGGUGACCGGCCACACUGGGACUGAGAUACGGCCCAGACUCCUACGGGAGGCAGCAGUGGGGAAUAUUGCACAAUGGGCGCAAGCCUGAUGCAGCGACGCCGCGUGAGGGAUGACGGCCUUCGGGUUGUAAACCUCUUUCAGUAGGGACGAAGCGCAAGUGACGGUACCUACAGAAGAAGGACCGGCCAACUACGUGCCAGCCGCCGCGGUAA
rnacentral:rRNA from 1 species